rnacentral:lncRNA from 10 species
CUACUGUCUGAUUUUUUUUCUGAGAAGUCAUAAAGCAGGUGUUGAUAUUAUUCACUAAAAUAAUCUUAAAUACAAGAAAACUCAAAAAUAGUCAUUUAAAAUCAUAACAUGAAUCUUUCCUAUCAUCUGGUCCCUCACGCAUUACCUGCUCAUAAAUUACUGAAAAAGAAAUAUUGAUGAAUUCCAUUUUCAAAAGAGCAAAAGGUGAGAGAACAUGCCAAGGCUGUCUUUAGUAUGCUUUACAUAAAGAAUACAUCCUCAUUUUAAAUUCUAACUGGGGCAGAGAACUGGGUAGAGUUUCCAUUUGAGAACUUUCCAGAGAGAUAGGAUCUUCAAACUCUCAAGUGAAUAUUUAAGACAAUUUCAUGUCUUCUUAAACCUACAUGUCUGAAUUACUGCUCCUUUCCAUUUCAUAGUUGGUGAACAGAUUCAUUUGAACAAUCACUUUGAAGAGUAUAGGUAGAAGCACAAUAACCAGGUCAGCCCCAGUUGAUGCUGACAGCAGGACCCAGUGUUGCCGUCCCUCCCCAGGCACCUUUUGGUUAUGGUUAUACCGCACCACCGUAUGGACAGCCACAGCCUGGCUUUGGGUACAGCAUGUGAGAUGAAGCGCUGAUCCUGUAGUCACCUAUUUUCGUACUGAAACAUCGUCUUUACCCACUUCUCAGUUUAUAAUGGGGGAAAACAGGCAACGUGUUCUUGUAACCUUUAUUUCAUGAAGGACUUCUUUUUGUUUCUAACUAUAAACUUGGAUCACCUAUGUUAAAACCUUAUUUCACAUUCCACAUCAUUUUAGAAUUUAUUUUCGAAGGGGAAUAGUUUCAAUGUUUUAUUCACUUGGGCUUUUUUUCUUCCCCCUCUUUCUUUAAAGAACUGCUCAAUAUUCAAUCUGUUGUGAAGAACCUGAUUUGCACUCUGUAGUGUUUAAAGAAACAAAGAAACUCUAAUAUUGAAUCUCUUAAAUUUAGUGUAUGUAAACAGCUUACAAAUACGUAUUGUCUAAAUGCAUUUAAAUCUGUUUUAUUCAAAGAAAAGCUAAAGCAAAAACACUGGCAUAUGACCAUGCAAGACUGUCAGUGCCAACAAAGACAACACUAAUCAGCACAUCGUACACUGGAUUGCAGUGCUUCCCAGAUUAUUGAAAAAUGUUACAGACAACUUGCCUGAUUUUUAAAUGAGCGUAAAAGGCCCUCUAACCUAUGCAGGUUUCCCCAUUAUGCAUAUAGAAAAUGCUAGUAUGUUUUGCUCACUUCAUAUGUAACAGGUGCCCUUAUGUUGUGCUGUAUCCUGUGCUUUUUCUGUGGGACCAUUCCAUUCAGGAGCAAAGAGCACCAUGAUUCCAAUCUUGUGUGUGUUUACUAACCCUUCCCUGAGGUUUGUGUAUGUUGGAUAUUGUGGUGUUUUAGAUCACUGAGUGUACAGAAGAGAGAAAUUCAAACAAAAUAUUGCUGUUCUUCAGUUUUGUUUGUGGAAUUUGAAAUUACUCAAAUUUAAAAUAAAUUACUGGACUGUGGAAAUAACAUAGAAUUGAAGUUUUAAUUAAAUACCACUCAAACGAAAAGAACAGUAGUUUUUGUAGUUUUAUAUUGGAUACUGAGGCAUUAGGGAGGCAUGAAAGGAAGAGGAAUGAGGAUUGAGACAUGUGAAGACAUUGUGCAUUAUAUCAAUGUGCAUUCCUGUAGUUCAUUAACAAGGUACAUGCAAUAGUCUAAAGAACCAGAGUCACUACUAUAGUGGCUUAACAUUUAAUCUGUCUCCAAUAUUUUAACCAAGUGACACCGAGGUUUUUAUCGAAGCAUUUCACUUAAAUGAACAAAUCAUGGCUGUUAUAUUAACUUGAAAUAAAAUAUAUUUAAACAUGUA